GGGGGGACCACCCUCCAACCCUAAAUACUACCCAGUGACCGAUAGCGUAUAGUACUGUGAAGGAAAGGUGAAAAGCACCCCGGGAGGGGAGUGAAAAAGAACCUGAAACCCUGUGCCUACAAGCACCUAGAGCGCGUCAAUGCGUGAUAGGGUACUUUUUGUAGAACGGUCCGGCGAGCGAUUGUAUGCAGCAAGGUUAAGGACUUAAGGUCUGGAGCCGAAGCGAAAGCGAGUUUGAAAAGGGCGUUAAGUUGCAUAUAAUGGGCCCGAAACCGGGUGACCUACCCAUGGUCAGGUUGAAGUGGAAGUAAAAUUCCAUGGAGGACCGAACCGACCUCCGUUGAAAAGGCGGCGGAUGAACUGUGGGUAGCGGAGAAAUUCCAAUCGAACCCGGAGAUAGCUGGUUCUCCCCGAAAUAGUUUUAGGACUAGCCUCAAGUUAGAUACCUGGAGGUAAAGCACUGAAUAGCCUAGCGGCCGAGAGGUUAGCGAAGCUUAUCAAACUCAGAAUGCCAGAGUAUUGAUGCUUGGGAGUCAGACAGUGUCAGAUAAAUGUCAUUGUCAAAAGGGAAACAGCCCAGAUCUACAGCUAAGGUCCCAAAGUCAGGUUAAGUGGAAAACGAUGUGAAGAUACGCAGACAACCAGGAUGUUGGCUCAGAAGCAGCCACUCAUUCAAAGAGUGCGUAAUAGCUCACUGGUCGAGCGUCUUUGCGCGGAGAAUUUAACGGGGCUAAACCUGACACCGAAGCUUAGGCAAUCCAGCAAUGGAUUGGGUAGGGGAGCGUUGUAUACGCGGAGAAACAGUAGCGUAAGCGGCUGUGGAGUGUAUAGAAGUGAGAAUGCCGGAAUGAGUAGCGCGAAUGCAGUGAGAAUCUGCAUGGCCGAAAGCCUCAGGUUUUUGGAGGAAGGUUCGUCCGCUCCAAGUUAGUCGGGAGCUAAGGUGAGGCCGGAAGGCGUAGCCGAUGCACAGACGGUAGAGAUUCCGUCACCACCAAAAGAGUUAAGCACAGGGACACAUUUGAAGUCUCAGAGCCGGGUGUUGGUUCCGGUAGAGAUCGAGGGAAAUUAGUACCGAAGUCUGAGAUGGAAGAUGGCGAGAAAAGCUGUGUGUAUUUCUGAGGUGCCCGUACCGCAAACCGACACAGGUAGGUAGGAAGAAGAUUCUAAGGCCAACGGGAGAAGGGUUGUUAAGGAACUCGGCAAAUUGACCCCGUAACUUCGGGAGAAGGGGUGCUCCAGAGAUGGAGCCGCAGAGAAUCGGCCCAAGCAACUGUUUACCAAAAACACAGGUUUGUGCUAAAUCGAAAGAUGACGUAUACGAGCUGACGCCUGCCCGGUGCUGGAAGGUUAAGAGGAGAUGUGCAAGCAUUGAAUCGAAGCCCCAGUGAACGGCGGCCGUAACUAUAACGGUCCUAAGGUAGCGAAAUUCCUUGUCAGGUAAG
rnacentral:rRNA from 1 species